rnacentral:tRNA from 1 species
GACCCCGUAGUUCAACGGAUAGAAUAGGAGUUUCCUAAACUCUAGAUGGUGGUUCGAUUCCACCCGGGGUCA